rnacentral:rRNA from 1 species
CGGUAAUUCUCUUGUCUCCAAUAGACGUAUACUAAAGUUGUUGCAGUUAAAAAGCUCGUAGAUGGAUUUCUGCGGGAGCGGAGCGGUACACCCACUAUGUGGUUUGUAGCUAGCACUUCUCCUGCAUCCUGCCGCGAACCGUGCUACCAUUAGUUUGGUGGCGCCGGGGAUCGGCUCGUUUACUUUGAGAAAAAUAAAGUGUUCAAAGCAGGCCACACGCCUUGAAUAAUUUAUCAUGUAAUAAUGAUUAAGGACUUCGGUUCUAUUUUGUUGGUGUACGCGACUGAAGUAAUGAUUGAUAGGGACAGAUGGUCCGGUCUGUAUUCCAAAGCGAGAGGAGAAAUUCUUACACCUUCUGAAGACAAACAGGUGCGAAAGCGUUCCGCAAGGAUGAUCCCUUUGAUCAAUAACGAACGUUGCUAGAUCGAAGACUAUCAGAUACUGUCGUAGUCUCAACUAUAAACUAUACCAGUUAGGUAUCGGCCAACGUUUCUUUAUACCGACUUGGACGGCACCUUAUGAGAAAUCAAAGCAUCUGGAAUCCGGGGGUAGUAUGGUCGCAAGGCUGUAACUUAAAGGAAUUGACGGAAGGACAUCACCAGCCGUGGAGCCUGCGGCUUAAUUUGACUCAACACGGGAAAACUUACCAGGUCCAGACAUAGUAAGGAUUGACAGAUUGAUAGCUCUUUCUUGAUUCUGUGGGUGGUGGUGCAUGGCCGUUCUUAGUUGGUGGAGUGAUUUGUCUGGUUAAUUUCGUUAACGAACGAGACCCCAGCCUGCUAAAUAGCGCGGCUGAGCUUUGCUCGGCACGAGCUUCUUAGAGGGACUAUGAUGCGCGAUAGCACAUGGAAGUUUGGGGCAAUAACAGGUCUGUGAUACCCUUAGAUGUUCUGGGCCGCACGCGGGCUACACUGGCGCCUGCGUCGAGCAUAUCAGCUGGCCCGAGAGGGUCUUGGUUAAUCUUUUGAACCGGCGCCGUGCUUGGGAUUGCCCUUUGCAAUUGUUGGUCAUGCAACGAGGAAUACCUGUAAACGCGAGUCAUCAGCUCGCAUUGAAUACGUCCCUGCUCCUUGUCACACCGCCC